GGGGUAUUGGCCGAGUGGACGAAGGCGGCAGUCUUGAAAACUGUAGGGCGUGUGAACGUUCCCAAGGUUCGAAUCCUUGAUGCCCCG
rnacentral:tRNA from 1 species